UACGGGGGGAGCAAGCGUUUGUUCGGAUUUACUGGGCGUAAAGGGCGCGUAGGCGGCCUGUGCAAGUCAGUUGUGAAAUCUCCGGGCUUAACUCGGAACGGUCAACUGAUACUGCUCGGCUAGAGUGCGGAAGGGGCAACUGGAAUUCUUGGUGUAGCGGUGAAAUGCGUAGAUAUCGAGAGGAACACCUGAGGUGAAGACGGGUUGCUGGGCCGACACUGACGCUGACAGCGCGAAAGCCAGGGGAGCAAACGGG
rnacentral:rRNA from 1 species